CUACGUGCCAGCAGCCGCGGUAAUACGGAAGGUCCCGGCGUUAUCCGGAUUUAUUGGGUUUAAAGGGAGCGCAGACUGCUUGUCAAGCGUGCAGUGAAACGCCGUGGCCCAACCACGGUCCUGCUGCGCGAACUGGCUUGCUUGAGUGGGCCGUAGGUACGCGGAAUUCGUGGUGUAGCGGUGAAAUGCUUAGAUAUCACGAGGAACUCCGAUUGCGAAGGCAGCGUACCAUAUCCCAACUGACGUUUAGGCUCGAAGGUGCGGGUAUCGAACAGGAUUAGAUACCCUGGUAGUCCGCACAGUAAACUAUGGAUGCUCGCUGUCGGCGAUAUAUAGUCGGUGGCCUAGCGAAAGCGUUAAGCAUCCCACCUGGGGAGUACGCCGGCAACGGUGAAACUCAAAGGAAUUGACGGGGGCCCGCACAAGCGGAGGAACAUGUGGUUUAAUUCGAUGAUACGCGAGGAACCUUACCCGGGCUUGAA
rnacentral:rRNA from 1 species